UCCAUCCUUUCUAAGGUUGCCAAAAAUUAAGCCACCUUUGACCCUUGUGCUUCUUAAAGCUUCAUAAAUAGCCGCAGCAAAGAACUGCUCGGUCUCACUUGACCCAACUUAGAGACUCCUGCCUCUUGAACUGGUUGCUCUGAGCUUCAGCCAUGAAGGCUUUAUUCCUCCUUGUUGCCAUCUUCUUGUUUUCCCACCAGGCUGUCACAGUAGCUGGCCAAAGCGACCCUGCCAACAUUGCUUGUUUCCAAAGUGGUGGCUCCUGUAGACUAUCAUGUCCAUUUCCUGCUGAACAAUCAGGAGACUGUGCUGGUGGCCUGGUUUGCUGUAGAUGGUCUCCCCACGGUCGUCCCGCAUAAAAUAUCAGGAAAAGUCUGAAGAGUCUGAAGAGUUCUGAAGAAGAUAUUGAAACAUGGUGGCUGGAAGGUGUGCAAGCAAUCUUGCUGAGAUACAAAUAUUUUGAUUGAAUGUAUAAUCUGGAAAAAGAUAACAGUUUAACCUGUUGAUCUGUAUAUUAAAGAUCUAUAAUAGCAA